AGAGUUUGAUCCUGGCUCAGGAUGAACGCCGGCGGUGUGCCUAAUACAUGCAAGUCGUACGCACUGGCCCAACUGAUUGAUGGUGCUUGCACCUGAUUGACGAUGGAUCACCAGUGAGUGGCGGACGGGUGAGUAACACGUAGGUAACCUGCCCCGGAGCGGGGGAUAACAUUUGGAAACAGAUGCUAAUACCGCAUAACAACAAAAGCCACAUGGCUUUUGUUUGAAAGAUGGCCUUGGCUAUCACUCUGGGAUGGACCUGCGGUGCAUUAGCUAGUUGGUAAGGUAACGGCUUACCAAGGCGAUGAUGCAUAGCCGAGUUGAGAGACUGAUCGGCCACAAUGGAACUGAGACACGGUCCAUACUCCUACGGGAGGCAGCAGUAGGGAAUCUUCCACAAUGGGCGCAAGCCUGAUGGAGCAACACCGCGUGAGUGAAGAAGGGUUUCGGCUCGUAAAGCUCUGUUGUUGGAGAAGAACGUGCGUGAGAGUAACUGUUCACGCAGUGACGGUAUCCAACCAGAAAGUCACGGCUAACUACGUGCCAGCAGCCGCGGUAAUACGUAGGUGGCAAGCGUUAUCCGGAUUUAUUGGGCGUAAAGCGAGCGCAGGCGGUUGCUUAGGUCUGAUGUGAAAGCCUUCGGCUUAACCGAAGAAGUGCAUCGGAAACCGGGCGACUUGAGUGCAGAAGAGGACAGUGGAACUCCAUGUGUAGCGGUGGAAUGCGUAGAUAUAUGGAAGAACACCAGUGGCGAAGGCGGCUGUCUGGUAUGCAACUGACGCUGAGGCUCGAAAGCAUGGGUAGCGAACAGGAUUAGAUACCCUGGUAGUCCAUACCGUAAACGAUGAGUGCUAGGUGUUGGAGGGUUUCCGCCCUUCAGUGCCGGAGCUAACGCAUUAAGCACUCCGCCUGGGGAGUACGACCGCAAGGUUGAAACUCAAAGGAAUUGACGGGGGCCCGCACAAGCGGUGGAGCAUGUGGUUUAAUUCGAAGCUACGCGAAGAACCUUACCAGGUCUUGACAUCUUGCGCUAACCUUAGAGAUAAGGCGUUCCCUUCGGGGACGCAAUGACAGGUGGUGCAUGGUCGUCGUCAGCUCGUGUCGUGAGAUGUUGGGUUAAGUCCCGCAACGAGCGCAACCCUUAUCCUCAGUAGCCAGCAUUACGGAUGGGAACUCUGGGGAGACUGCCGGAGACAAUCCGGAGGAAGGUGGGGAUGACGUCAAAUCAUCAUGCCCCUUAUGACUUGGGCUACACACGUGCUACAAUGGUGGUAACAAAGUGAAGCGACCCCGUGAGGGUGAGCCAACCACAGAAAAGCCAUCUCAGUUCGGAUUGUAGUCUGCAACCCGACUACAUGAAGCUGGAAUCGCUAGUAAUCGCAGAUCAGAAUGCUGCGGUGAAUACGUUCCCGGGUCUUGUACUCACCGCCCGUCA
rnacentral:rRNA from 1 species